rnacentral:rRNA from 1 species
AGUGAACGCUGGCGGUAGGCCUAACACAUGCAAGUCGAACGGCAGCACAGGAGAGCUUGCUCUCUGGGUGGCGAGUGGCGGACGGGUGAGGAAUACAUCGGAAUCUACUCUGUCGUGGGGGAUAACGUAGGGAAACUUACGCUAAUACCGCAUACGACCUACGGGUGAAAGCAGGGGACCUUCGGGCCUUGCGCGAUUGAAUGAGCCGAUGUCGGAUUAACUAGUUGGCGGGGUAAAGGCCCACCAAGGCGACGAUCCGUAGCUGGUCUGAGAGGAAGAUCAGCCACACUGGAACUGAGACACGGUCCAGCCUCCUACGGGAGGCAGCAGUGGGGAAUAUUGGAAAAUGGGCGCAAGCCUGAUCCAGCCAUACCGCGUGGGUGAAGAAGGCCUUCGGGUUGUAAAGCCCUUUUGUUGGGAAAGAAAUCCAGCUGGCUAAUACCCGGUUGGGAUGACGGUACCCAAAGAAUAAGCACCGGCUAACUUCGUGCCAGCCGCCGCCGUAA